rnacentral:rRNA from 1 species
UACGUAGGGGGCAAGCGUUGUCCGGAUUCAUUGGGCGUAAAGAGCGUGUAGGCGGCCAGGUAGGUCGGUUGUGAAAACUGGAGGCUCAACCUUCAGAGGUCGACCGAAACCAUCUGGCUAGAGUCCGGGAGAGGAGAGUGGAAUUCCGGGUGUAGCGGUGAAAUGCGUAGAUAUCCGGAGGAACACCGGUGGCGAAGGCGCACAUCUGGCCCGAUACUGACGCUGAGGCGCGAAAGCUAGGGGAGCAAACGGG